UGAACACAGCCAAAGCAUCGGGGAGGAGCUUGCACAGCGCGUGAUCCCGCGGUUGAUGCGCCCGCCAUGGCGUCCGUGCCGCUGUCCGCGUCGUCGCAGGCCGGCCUCCUCCUCCUCCCGCUGCCGCUCCUGCAGCCGCCCGGCGCCGGCGCAGGAGCAUGCCUGCGCUACCGCCUGCCGAGGCUGCCUCCAGCGCUCUCGAGCGUGAGGAAGGGAGGGCUCCUGCCGCUGCCGAUUCUGGCGCCGCCGCGGGCCGCGGAGGGGAAGGACGGGUGGGCCCUGACCAAGGAGGAGGUGGUGGAGGAGGACGAAGAGGAGGUGGAGGUGAGGAGGGAAGGCGAGGAGGAUGGGGGAGGAAGUGGUGAUGGUGGUGGGGCAAGGGAGGACGCGUCCAGGGGCUCGGGGCGGUUCGCCGCGGAUUACAUCUCGCUUGGCAUCAAGGAGCCCGUGUAUGAGGUGAUAGAAGUGAGAUCUACUGGGAGGAUGUCCACCAAAAAAAUAAGCCGGCGGCAGCUACUGAAAUCUAGUGGGCUCCGUUUACGUGAUACCCGAAGCGUUGACCCAUCACUAUGGUUAAUGAAUUCAAUGCCUUCCCUGCUGGUACGUGAACAAGCUAUUUUAAUCAAUCUUGGCUCCUUGCGAGCAAUUGCUAUGUACGAGCAUGUUCUUAUAUUUAACUAUAACAGGAGGGAAGGCCUUUUUAGAGCUAUUACUGCCUAGGUUAAAUCCAAGAAACAUCAAUGGUGGGCCCGCAAUGCCUUUUCAGCUUGAGGUUGUUGAAGCUGCACUUCUUUCUAGAAUACUAAGACUGGAGCAGAGACUAAUGAAGAUUGAGCCUAGUGUAAGCGCCACAUAAGUCUAUGCCAUGCCUCCUUGAGCUAUUUAUGUCAUAUACAACUCUCUCUCUCUCUCUCUCUCUCUCUCUCUCUCUCUCUCUCUCUCUCUCUCUCUCUCUCUCUCUCUUCUUGUACAAAACUGUAUAUGACGAUGUUGAUUAUCUUUUCUGCAUAUUUGAUUGAAGCACCAUCAGUAAAAAUUUCUCAGUCAAUGACUUCAAAUGUUA